UACGUAGGGGGCAAGCGUUGUCCGGAAUCAUUGGGCGUAAAGAGCGUGUAGGCGGCCCGAUAAGUCCGCUGUGAAAGUCCAGGGCUCAACCCUGGGAUGCCGGUGGAUACUGUCGGGCUCGAGUCCGGAAGAGGAGUGUGGAAUUCCUGGUGUAGCGGUGAAAUGCGCAGAUAUCAGGAGGAACACCAAUAGCGAAGGCAGCUCGCUGGGACGGUAUUGACGCUAAGGCGCGAAAGCGUGGGGAGCAAACAGG
rnacentral:rRNA from 1 species